rnacentral:rRNA from 1 species
AUUGAACGCUGGCGGCAUGCCUUACACAUGCAAGUCGAACGGCAGCACGGGUGCUUGCACCUGGUGGCGAGUGGCGAACGGGUGAGUAAUACAUCGGAACAUGUCCUGUAGUGGGGGAUAGCCCGGCGAAAGCCGGAUUAAUACCGCAUACGAUCUACGGAUGAAAGCGGGGGACCUUCGGGCCUCGCGCUAUAGGGUUGGCCGAUGGCUGAUUAGCUAGUUGGUGGGGUAAAGGCCUACCAAGGCGACGAUCAGUAGCUGGUCUGAGAGGACGACCAGCCACACUGGGACUGAGACACGGCCCAGACUCCUACGGGAGGCAGCAGUGGGGAAUUUUGGACAAUGGGCGAAAGCCUGAUCCAGCAAUGCCGCGUGUGGGAAGAAGGCCUUCGGGUUGUAAAGCACUUUUGUCCGGAAAGAAAUCCUUGGCCCUAAUACGGGCGGGGGAUGACGGUACCGGAAGAAUAAGCACCGGCUAACUACGUG